rnacentral:tRNA from 1 species
UCCCCAGUAGCUCAGACGGUAAAGUGUCUGCCUGCAAUGCAGGGCACCUGGGUUCGAUACCUGGGUUGGGAA